CACGUAGGGGGCUAGUGUUGUCCGGAAUCAUUGGGCGUAAAGCGCGUGUAGGCGGUCCGGUAAGUCCGCUGUGAAAGUCGAGGGCUCAACCCUCGAAUGCCGGUGGAUACUGUCGGGCUUGAGUACGGGAGAGGCGAGUGGAAUUCCUGGUGUAGCGGUGAAAUGCGCAGAUAUCAGGAGGAACACCGAUUGCGAAGGCAGCUCGCUGGAACGUUACCGACGCUGAGACGCGAAAAGCGUGGGGAGCAAACAGG
rnacentral:rRNA from 1 species